rnacentral:lncRNA from 1 species
UUUUUUUUAAGAAUAGAAAGCAGAGGGGGAAACUCUCUGCUAGGGUUUUCUUUAACCCAAACUCCCUAGCCGCCACAACCACUUCGGCGAACCUGAAUCUCCCCUCCGGUUUCGAUUUGGCAGGAAACAGGGUUUCGUCUUCCUCCAUGCAGGUAAAUAUAUUCCCCUCUUUUACUCUUUUUUGUUUUGACAAGGAGAAAAUAAUAAUAAUAAUAAAAUAAAAAAAAUAAAAGAACACAGUAGAGAAACGCAGAGAAAAAGAAAAAAUGGUAAAUCACCUUCUUUUUUUAACUGUUAAUCGUUUUUUUCUUUAUUGAUUUUUUUCAAAAUCGAAUCCCCCAAUAAUGUAUCCUCAAUGGCUUUAUAUAGCCAUAAUAAAAAAUAUAGAAAUAAAAUCUUGUUUGCAUUGAUUUGAUUCUCAAUCUUUUGAUUUCUUUUCAUUACAUUGAUUUGAUUCUCAAUCCUUUGAGUUCUUUCCAUUACUGUUUUGCUUCUUUUUUUGUGUGCAAAUGAAGAUUCGGGGAGGCGGCUAGUGCAAAGAUCCUGGUUGCGGUGCAAGUUCAUCCUAGAAACCUUAGGGUUUCUGAUUGUUUGGGCCACUGGAUUUGGGGUUUGGUUUUGGGCCUUUGUUUGAUUUGGGCCACAUAGGCCCAUUUGUAAUUUGGGCCCUUUUGACCCGGGCAAAAAUAGGGUAUUACAUAUUCACUUAUCAAUCAAUGUCAAAUAAAUAAAUUUUCACUCUUUAUAAUUUAA